AUUGAACGCUGGCGGCAUGCCUUACACAUGCAAGUCGAACGGCAGCACGGGAGCAAUCCUGGUGGCGAGUGGCGAACGGGUGAGUAAAGUAUCGGAACGUGCCCAGUCGUGGGGGAUAACGUAGCGAAAGUUACGCUAAUACCGCAUACGAUCUAUGGAUGAAAGCGGGGGAUCGCAAGACCUCGCGCGAUUGGAGCGGCCGAUAUCAGAUUAGGUAGUUGGUGGGGUAAAGGCUCACCAAGCCGACGGUCUGUAGCUGGUCUGAGAGGACGGCCGGCCACACUGGGACUGAGGCACGGCCCGGACUCCUACGGGAGGCAGCAGUGGGGAAUUUUGGACAAUGGGCGCAAGCCUGAUCCAGCCAUGCCGCGUGCAGGAUGAAGGCCUUCGGGUUGUAAACUGCUUUUGUACGGAGCGAAAAGGCCCUCUCUAAUACAGGGGGUUUAUGACGGUACCGUAAGAAUAAGCACCGGCUAACUACGUGCCAGCCGCCGCAGUAA
rnacentral:rRNA from 1 species